UAAGCUUCAGGAAGGAAAAAAAAGCAGGAUAAAAAAGUUACCACUUUACAUAGAGUGGUCAUGGAAGGCAUCAUUAAAGAGGCAGUUUAAGCAGAGAGCUAAAUGAAGUGAUGUGAGAAGCCGUAUGAUUAUCCAGAGAGGAACAUUCCAGGUGAAGAAAACAGCCACUGACAUGAUUGAGGACCAGCAAGGAGGUCGUUAAGACUGAAGUAGAGCAAACAAGGGAAGAAUGCUGCAGACUGGAUUGAGGAAAGCAACAGUGAAUGCAGAGAGACUAGUUGGAGGCUAUUGCUGGAACCUAUAAAAGAUUACAGUUUGGACUGAAGAUGUGUUAGUGCAGAUGGAGAAAAGUGGAUGGACUGUACAGCACCUGGAAACUGAUUGUAUAUGACGGUGGAAGACUUGUAGGUUUUACACUAGUGACUCUUUGGAGGCAGAUGCCAUUACUGAGAUGGGAAACCCAGCAAGAGAUAUCCAGGGCCUAUACAAGUCUUUUUUUUUUUAAUUUUUUGAUACGGAGUUUCGCUGUUGUUACCCAGGCUAGAGUGCAAUGGCACAAUCUCAGCUCACCGCAACCUCCACCUCCUGGGUUCAAGAAAUUCUCCUGCCUCAGCCGCCCGAGUAGCUGGAACUACAGCACACUUCAGAAUACUCUCAUAGUAAAAGAAGAAAAAGAAGAAGAAGAAGAGGAAGAGGAAGAAAGAAGAAGGAGGAGGAGGAGGAGGAGGAGGAAGAGAAGAAAGAGCUUUUAA
rnacentral:lncRNA from 1 species